UGCCAGCCGCCGCGGUAAUACGGAGGGUGCAAGCAUUAAUCGGAUUGAUUGGGCGUAAAGGGCGCGUAGGCGGGGAAAUAAGUCAGAUGUGAAAUCCCAGGGCUCAACCCUGGAACCGCAUUUGAAACUGUUUUUCUUGAGGGUGGACGAAGAAAACGGAAUUCCACAUGUAGCGGUGAAAUGCGUAGAUAUGUGGAAGAACACCGGUGGCGAAGGCGGUUUUCUAGUUUAUUCCUGACGCUGAGGCGCGAGAGCAAGGGUAGCAAACAGGAUUAGAUA
rnacentral:rRNA from 1 species